AUUGAACGCUGGCGGCAUGCCUUACACAUGCAAGUCGAACGGCAGCACGGGUGCUUGCACCUGGUGGCGAGUGGCGAACGGGUGAGUAAUACAUCGGAACGUACCUUAUCGUGGGGGAUAACGCAGCGAAAGCUGUGCCAAUACCGCAUACGCCCUGAGGGGGAAAGCGGGGGAUCGAAAGACCUCGCGCGAUUAGAGCGGCCGAUGCCUGAUUAGCUUGUUGGUGGGGUAAAAGCCCACCAAGGCGACGAUCAGUAGCUGGUCUGAGAGGACGCGCAGCCACACUGGGACUGAGACACGGCCCAGACUCCUACGGGGGGCAGCAGUGGGGAAUUUUGGACAAUGGGGGCAACCCUGAUCCAGCAAUGCCGCGUGAGUGAAGAAGGCCUUCGGGUUGUAAAGCUCUUUUGUCAGGGAAGAAACGCCGGCUCUAACACAGUCCGGGAAUGACGGUACCUGAAGAAUAAGCACCGGCUAACUACGUGCCAGCCGCCGCAGUAA
rnacentral:rRNA from 1 species